rnacentral:rRNA from 1 species
UACGGAGGGUGCAAGCGUUAUCCGGAUUCACUGGGUUUAAAGGAUGCGUAGGCGGGCAUGUAAGUCAGUGGUGAAAUCUUCAAGCUUAACUUGGAAACUGCCAUUGAUACUAUGUGUCUUGAAUGUUCUGGAGGUUAGCGGAAUAUGUCAUGUAGCGGUGAAAUGCUUAGAUAUGACAUAGAACACCUAUUGCGAAGGCAGCUAACUACGGAAAUAUUGACGCUGAGGCACGAAAGCGUGGGGAUCAAACAGG